ACCUCGGAUCAGGUACGGUGAUACCCGCUG
rnacentral:rRNA from 1 species